GGUCGCGUAGGCUCAGCAGGAUAGAGCACAAGCCUUCUAAGGCUUGUUGUCAGAGGUUCAGAAUCCUCUCGUGAUCGCCA
rnacentral:tRNA from 1 species